GUUUGUUUAAUAUUUAUUUAAUAUUUAUUUACCUAUUUUUUGUGCACUUGUUUCAUUUCAGCUCAGUGUAGAGAAAUACAGCGAUACAGACAACCGUCUUACUGCGUAUCUAUGACGACACUGUCGACGCGUAUCCGUAUCUGUGACACGCCUGCUCCGUAACAUAACUAGUAGUUUCAGGGGGCCUACCACCCCCCCUGAAAACAAUCCUAGUAGAAACACUGUCAAUCAUUAUUAUUAAACGUCAGAAGGAUGAUCAAUAAUUAAUCUAUAGAGCUCAUAUUGAAACAGACUUUACAAAGUGCUUCACAAUUCAGGAUCAAAUGAAAAGAUCAUUAACAGGGAAGUAAUGGCUUGAAUAAAAUUCAUAAAUUGAAUCAUUUAUAUGUUGACACUGUUUGGAUGCUUUCAACUGUUUGUUGGUCUGAUUUCUACGUUCACAAACAAAAUGAAAAAGUUAAUUAUUGUCAUUUUUACUCUGACAAGUGAAUUUUGUGGAUGUGUGACAGUUAAAAAAGGCACUUUAAUAAUUCUUAUUUACAAUUUGUGUUUGUGAAUUUUAUCUCAACGAGGAAUUUUUAUUCAUGAAUGUUUCCUGUGGAAAUGACCUUGCUGCACAUCGUCCCUUCUGUCCCUCACAGAGCUGUUUUGCAUUGCUGAGGGAGCAGAUGUGCAGGAGAGACCAGAAGGUGAUUCAUAUGUGUUACAUUGUCUUCUGCAGGAGCAAAUAAAGGCUGGAAACCAA